UUCACUUUAACACUGAGGCGUGACGACGAGGCACUACGGUGCUGAAGCAACAAAUGCCCUGCUUCCAGGAAAAGCCUCUAAGCAUCAGGUAACAUCAAAUCGUACCCCAAACCGACACAGGUGGUCAGGUAGAGAAUACCAAGGCGCUUGAGAGAACUCGGGUGAAGGAACUAGGCAAAAUGGUGCCGUAACUUCGGGAGAAGGCACGCUGACACGUAGGUGAAGUGAUUUACUCAUGGAGCUGAAGUCAGUCGAAGAUACCAGCUGGCUGCAACUGUUUAUUAAAAACACAGCACUGUGCAAACACGAAAGUGGACGUAUACGGUGUGACGCCUGCCCGGUGCCGGAAGGUUAAUUGAUGGGGUCAGCGCAAGCGAAGCUCCUGAUCGAAGCCCCGGUAAACGGCGGCCGUAACUAUAACGGUCCUAAGGUAGCGAAAUUCCUUGUCGGGUAAGUUCCGACCUGCACGAAUGGCGUAAUGAUGGCCAGGCUGUCUCCACCCGAGACUCAGUGAAAUUGAACUCGCUGUGAAGAUGCAGUGUACCCGCGGCAAGACGGAAAGACCCCGUGAACCUUUACUAUAGCUUGACACUGAACAUUGAGCCUUGAUGUGUAGGAUAGGUGGGAGGCUUUGAAGUGUGGACGCCAGUCUGCAUGGAGCCGACCUUGAAAUACCACCCUUUAAUGUUUGAUGUUCUAACGUGGACCCGUUACCCGGGUUGCGGACAGUGUCUGGUGGGUAGUUUGACUGGGGCGGUCUCCUCCUAAAGAGUAACGGAGGAGCACGAAGGUUGGCUAAUCCUGGUCGGACAUCAGGAGGUUAGUGCAAUGGCAUAAGCCAGCUUGACUGCGAGCGUGACGGCGCGAGCAGGUGCGAAAGCAGGUCAUAGUGAUCCGGUGGUUCUGAAUGGAAGGGCCAUCGCUCAACGGAUAAAAGGUACUCCGGGGAUAACAGGCUGAUACCGCCCAAGAGUUCAUAUCGACGGCGGUGUUUGGCACCUCGAUGUCGGCUCAUCACAUCCUGGGGCUGAAGUAGGUCCCAAGGGUAUGGCUGUUCGCCAUUUAAAGUGGUACGCGAGCUGGGUUUAGAACGUCGUGAGACAGUUCGGUCCCUAUCUGCCGUGGGCGCUGGAGAACUGAGGGGGGCUGCUCCUAGUACGAGAGGACCGGAGUGGACGCAUCACUGGUGUUCGGGUUGUCAUGCCAAUGGCACUGCCCGGUAGCUAAAUGCGGAAGAGAUAAGUGCUGAAAGCAUCUAAGCACGAAACUUGCCCCGAGAUGAGUUCUCCCUGAGACUUAAAGUCUCCUGAAGGAACGUUGAAGACGACGACGUUGAUAGGC
rnacentral:rRNA from 1 species